AGAACGAACGCUGGCGGCAGGCCUCAAACAUGCAAGUCUAGGGGGUGUAGCAAUACAUCACCGGCGGACGGGUGCGUAACGCGUGGGAAUAUACCUAUUGGUUCGGAACAACUGAGGGAAACUUCAGCUAAUACCGAAUAAGUCCUUACGGAGAAAGAUUUAUCGCCAAUAGAUUAGCCCGCGUUCGAUUAGCUAGUUGGUGGGGUAACGGCCCACCAAGGCGACGAUCGAUAGCUGUUCUGAGAGGAAGAUCAGCCACACUGGGACUGAGACACGGCCCAGACUCCUACGGGAGGCAGCAGUUGGGAAUCUUGGACAAUGGGGGAAACCCUGAUCCAGCCAUGCCGCGUGAGUGAUGAAGGCCUUCGGGUUGUAAAACUCUUUCGCGCACGACGAUAAUGACGGUAGUGCGAGAAGAAGCGUCCGGCUAACUUCGUGCCAGCAGCCGC
rnacentral:rRNA from 1 species